rnacentral:rRNA from 1 species
ACGCUCGACACCUACGGGGGCAGCAGUGGGGAAUAUUGCACAAUGGGGGAAACCCUGAUGCAGCGACGCCGCGUGGAGGAAGAAGGUCUUCGGAUUGUAAACUCCUGUUGUUGGGGAAAAAGAGGAUGGUACCCAACAAGGAAGUGACGGCUAACUACGUGCCUGCAGCCGCGGUAAUCUGAGCGGGCUGGCAAGGC